UAUUAGAUUAAUUCUAUCUAAUUUAAAUUAGCUUUUAAAAUAAUAUUAUAUGUAAAUUUUUGUGCGUGUUUCUGUUUAUCUUAAAGAUAAAUUUUAAUUAUUUGCAGUUUUUGGGUUUAUAUAUUAUUAGAAAUAAUGAUAUAGUUAUUAUUAAUUAAGGAUUGUUUUAUAUUGUGCCAGCAGACGCGGUUAUACAAUUAAUUCAAGUUAAUUUUCUUGGUUUGUAUUAAUUUAUUUUUUUUUGAAAAUAUAAAUUUAAUUUGUUAGGUAAAAUUUUAAUUUUUAUUAUUUUUCAGGUUUAAGAUUAUAUGAAAUUUAAUUUUUAAACUAGGAUUAGAUACCCUAUUAUUUUAAAUGUAAAUUUAUAGCCAUGGUAUUAAUAGCUAUGAUCUUUAAAUUAAAAGAAUUUGGCGGUAAUUUAGUCUUUUCAGAGGAACCUGUCCUGUAAUCGAUAAUCCACGUUGGAUUUUACUUUAUUCUCACUUGUAUACCUCUGUUAUUGAAUGUUUUAUAAAAAUAUUUUCUUGAAUUAUUAUUUGGAUGAUAUCAGGUCAAGGUGCAGUUAUAAUAAAGGUUGAGAUGGGUUACAUUUAAUGUUAUUUAUNUGAAUUAUAACUUGUAUUUUAAGUUAUUUGAAAGAGGAUUUGAAAGUAAUUAAUUUUAUUUAAAAUUAAUGAUUUUAGCUCUAAAUUAUGCACACAUCGCCCGUCGCUCUUAUUUAUUAAAAUAAGAUAAGUCGUAACAAAGUAAUCUUACUGGAAAGUGUGAUUAGAAAGAG
rnacentral:ncRNA from 1 species